rnacentral:tRNA from 1 species
GCUGGUGUAGCUCAAUUGGCAGAGGAGGACACCGCCGUGCGGGGGUUCCCCCCCGUUGAGGCGAGUGUCCGUCAACUGACUUGUAAUCAGUAGGUUGCAGGUUCAAUUCCUGUCACUAGCUCCA